CAACACUGAUCCUGUGAAAAUGUCACAGCCGGGAGGCAGCCAGCAACAACACCGGUGAAGGGCCGGGGCCUUGUGCUGCGUGCCAUCACCGCCUGACAUGAGGGGAUCUCUGGAUGUGCACUGCUAUUGCAUGAAGGGACAUUUUCUGAAGACAUCAAGGACAGGAGGGCUCCAAUUGCCACACUGUGAGGAAAAUGCUCAUUUCAGUCUGGAUCCUACGUGUGCGAGAGGCUGUGUGGCUGCGCCCUGUGUAAACACCUGGUCACCGCCACUGUGCACCGUCUGACCGCAGAACAAUGGACAGCCAGCUGGGCCAUCUUUUACUCUUCAUUGAGGUUCACCUUAAGAAUUGCAUGUGGACUCUUGUGAGUAAUUACAAGAAAGUGAGCCUUUGACCUUUGACG
ensembl:lncRNA